AUGGACACCGGCGAGCCUACGGGUACAGCGGCAGCGGCGGCGGGAGGAGAGAAGCGGGCGAUGCUGCUGCGGCAGAUCACCGAGGAGGGAGGCUUCGCCUUCGUGGCCUCCGCGGAGAAGGCGGCCGCGGGGGACCUGCGCGCGGCGGAGGCGGCGCGGGAGAUGGCCUGGGAGCAGCUGCACUCGGGGCCGUGGAGCGAGGUGGAGCCUGCGUGGCGGCACGCCUACGCGCUCGCUUGUCUCCACGUCGCGAGUCUCCGCGCCGGUGACGACCGCCGCGCGGCGCUCCGAGCGCUCGACAUGGGCCUCAUCAUGGGUGGCGACCUCCUCCGCGCAGAGCUCGAAGCAGCCAUCGCGCAGGUCCCUGCCAAUGGAAAUCGCGAGGGCGAAGGCGACGGUGCGGGAGACGCCGGCAGAAACGUGGAGAGGUGGAGGGAAGGGCUCAGUAGGAAUCGAGACCUCGGCGAUGCGCUCAAAGUUCUGCCGGUGAAAUCCCUAUCUUGUAAGCAAAUCGAGCGGCGGACAUGCAUUUCUUUGGAGGCAUUUAUACAUGAUUACUUUUUACGUGAGUCCCCUGUUAUACUCAGUGGCUGCAUUGAUCAUUGGCCUGCAAGGACAAAGUGGAAGGACAUAAAAUACCUAGAGAGGAUAGCUGGAGACCGCACUAUUCCUGUCGAGGUUGGAAAAAGUUAUGUUUGUAAUGAGUGGAGGCAGGACCUUAUCACAUUUUCACAGUUUCUUGAGAGAAUGUCGUCACCUGAUUGUUCUGCAAACUUGACGUAUCUAGCCCAGCAUCCAUUGUUUGACCAGAUAAAAGAGCUUCGUGAAGACAUAGUGGUUCCUGAGUACUGUUAUGCUGGCGGUGGGAAACUCCAAUCGCUCAAUGCUUGGUUUGGCCCUCAUGGGACUGUGACACCAUUGCAUCAUGACCCACAUCACAACCUUUUUGCUCAGGUCUUGGGCAGAAAGUAUAUUAGACUCUAUCAUGCUUCCAUCUCCGAGGAUUUGUACCCUCACAUGGAAACUAUGCUAAGCAAUACGAGCCAGGUAGAUCUUGACAACAUUGAUGUUAAGGAAUUCCCAAGGACAGAAGAUCUUGAAUUCAUGGACAACAUAUUGGAGGAAGGUGACCUGCUUUACAUACCACCAAAAUGGUGGCAUUACGUGAGAUCUCUUUCUACCAGUUUCUCUGUUAGCUUUUGGUGGCGCACGUCAAUUCUUCCUUCACAGGGUUCAUGA
rnacentral:rRNA from 1 species